AUUGAACGCUGGCGGCAGGCUUAACACAUGCAAGUCGAACGAGUGGCGGACGGGUGAGUAAUGCUUGGGAAUCUGGCUUAUGGAGGGGGAUAACUACGGGAAACUGUAGCUAAUACCGCGUACCAUAGGAUGAGCCCAAGGGGGAGAAGGUAGUUGGUGAGGUAAAGGCUCACCAAGCCGAAGAUCUCUAGCUGGUCUGUGAGGAUGACCAGCCACACUGGGACUGAGACACGGCCCAGAAGCCUACGGGAGGCAGCAGUAGGGAAUCUUCGGCAAUGGACGAAAGUCUGAUCCAGCCAUGCCGCGUGUGUGAAGAAGGUCGUCGGAUUGUAAAGCACUUUAAGUUGGGAGGCGUUACCAACAGAAUAAGCACCGGCUAACUUCGUGCCAGCCGCCGCGGUAAUUC
rnacentral:rRNA from 1 species